rnacentral:rRNA from 1 species
AGUAACAGCAUAGGAAUUUACCCGGUAGUGGGGGAUAACCUGGGGAAACCCAGGCUAAUACCGCAUACGUCCUACGGGAGAAAGGGGGCUUUGGCUCCCGCUAUCGGAUGAGCCUAUGCCGGAUUAGCUGGUUGGUGAGGUAAUGGCUCACCAAGGCGACGAUCCGUAGCUGGUCUGAGAGGAUGAUCAGCCACAUCGGGACUGAGACACGGCCCGAACUCCUACGGGAGGCAGCAGUGGGGAAUAUUGGACAAUGGGGGCAACCCUGAUCCAGCCAUGCCGCGUGUGUGAAGAAGGCCCUCGGGUUGUAAAGCACUUUCAGCGAGGAAGAACGCCUGUCGGUUAAUACCCGGCAGGAAAGACAUCACUCGCAGAAGAAGCACCGGCUAACUCCGUGCCAGCAGCCGCGGUAAUACGGAGGGUGCAAGCGUUAAUCGGAAUUACUGGGCGUAAAGCGCGCGUAGGUGGCUUGAUAAGCCGGUUGUGAAAGCCCCGGGCUCAACCUGGGAACGGCAUCCGGAACUAUCAGGCUAGAGUGCAGGAGAGGAAGGUAGAAUUCCCGGUGUAGCGGUGAAAUGCGUAGAGAUCGGGAGGAAUACCAGUGGC